CUACGGGGGGCUCCAGUGGGGAAUUUUGCGCAAUGGGGGAAACCCUGACGCAGCAAUACCGCGUGAGUGAAGAAGGCCUUUGGGUCGUAAAGCUCUUUUCUUGGGGAAGAUAGUGACGGUACCCAAGGAAUAAGCACCGGCUAACUCCGUGUCAGCAGCCGCGGUAAUACGGAGGGUGCAAGCGUUGUUCGGAUUUACUGGGCGUAAAGGGCACGUAGGCGGCACAGCAAGUUAAGGGUGAAAUCCCGGGGCUCAACUCCGGAACUGCUCUUAAAACUGCUGAGCUAGAGAUAGUCAGAGGCGGGUGGAAUUCCAGGUGUAGAGGUGAAAUUCGUAGAUAUCUGGAGGAACACCGGUGGCGAAGGCGGCCCGCUGGGGCUAUUCUGACGCUAAGGUGCGAAAGCGUGGGGAGCAAACGGGAUUAGAUACCCCAGUAGUC
rnacentral:rRNA from 1 species